rnacentral:rRNA from 1 species
GACGAACGCUGGCGGCGUGCUUAACACAUGCAAGUCGAACGGAAAGGCCCUGCUUUUGUGGGGUGCUCGAGUGACGAACGGGUGAGUAGCACGUGAGUAACCUGCCCUUGACUUUGGGAUAACUUCAGGAAACUGGGGCUAAUACCGGAUAGGAGCUCCUGCUGCAUGGUGGGGGUUGGAAAGUUUCGGCGGUUGGGGAUGGACUCGCGGCUUAUCAGCUUGUUGGUGGGGUAGUGGCUUACCAAGGCUUUGACGGGUAGCCGGCCUGAGAGGGUGACCGGCCACAUUGGGACUGAGAUACGGCCCAGACUCCUACGGGAGGCAGCAGUGGGGAAUAUUGCACAAUGGGCGGAAGCCUGAUGCAGCAACGCCGCGUGCGGGAUGACGGCCUUCGGGUUGUAAACCGCUUUCGCCUGUGACGAAGCGUGAGUGACGGUAAUGGGUAAAGAAGCACCGGCUAACUACGUG